GUCGUGCAGGAGAAAAAUGCUGCAGCAACGGCUGUGGCUACGAGUGCAUGAAGGCCACUGGAGUGCGUCCCCCGAGGUCUCCCGGAAGACGCCCCAGACCUCAAGACGCUGGGCACUGUGCGCAACUUGUUCUGAAGGAGCAAAAUGCCAUAGCAACGGCUGUGGCCGUGACUGCGUGAGGGUCUCUGGAGAAUAACCUGGUCUGAAGCCCGGAAUCACUGACAGCCGUCUGUGUGGAAGAACUGCUCCUGUCAAGAGUCGAUGUACCAACUCGGGCCCUGAAU